AGGGAAUCUUCCGCAAUGGACGAAAGUCUGACGGAGCAACGCCGCGUGAACGAAGAAGGCCUUCGGGUCGUAAAGUUCUGUUGUUAGGGAAGAACAAGUACGAUAGUAACUGAUCGUACCUUGACGGUACCUAACCAGAAAGCCACGGCUAACUACGUGCCAGCAGCCGCGGUAAUACGUAGGUGGCAAGCGUUGUCCGGAAUUAUUGGGCGUAAAGCGCGCGCAGGUGGUUCCUUAAGUCUGAUGUGAAAGCCCACGGCUCAACCGUGGAAGGUCAUUGGAAACUGGGGAACUUGAGUGCAGAAGAGGAAAGUGGAAUUCCAAGUGUAGCGGUGAAAUGCGUAGAUAUUUGGAGGAACACCAGUGGCGAAGGCGACUUUCUGGUCUGUAACUGACACUGAGGCGCGAAAGCGUGGGGAGCAAAC
rnacentral:rRNA from 1 species